AGUGAACGCUGGCGGUAGGCCUAACACAUGCAAGUCGAACGGCAGCACAGGAGAGCUUGCUCUCUGGGUGGCGAGUGGCGGACGGGUGAGGAAUACAUCGGAAUCUACUUUUUCGUGGGGGAUAACGUAGGGAAACUUACGCUAAUACCGCAUACGACCUACGGGUGAAAGCAGGGGAUCUUCGGACCUUGCGCGAUUGAAUGAGCCGAUGUCGGAUUAGCUAGUUGGCGGGGUAAAGGCCCACCAAGGCGACGAUCAGUAGCUGGUCUGAGAGGAUGAUCAGCCACACUGGAAGUGAGACACGGUCCAGACUCCUACGGGAGGCAGCAGUGGGGAAUAUUGGACAAUGGGCGCAAGCCUGAUCCAGCCAUACCGCGUGAGUGAAGAAGGCCUUCGGGUUGUAAAGCCCUUUUGUUGGGAAAGAAAUCCAGCUGGUUAAUACCCGGUUGGGAUGACGGUACCCAAAGAAUAAGCACCGGCUAACUUCGUGCCAGCCGCCGCCGUAA
rnacentral:rRNA from 1 species